rnacentral:rRNA from 2 species
UUGGACCGCAUGGUCCGAGUUUGAAAGAUGGCUUCGGCUAUCACUUUUGGAUGGUCCCGCGGCGUAUUAGCUAGAUGGUGGGGUAACGGCUCACCAUGGCAAUGAUACGUAGCCGACCUGAGAGGGUAAUCGGCCACAUUGGGACUGAGACACGGCCCAAACUCCUACGGGAGGCAGCAGUAGGGAAUCUUCCACAAUGGACGAAAGUCUGAUGGAGCAACGCCGCGUGAGUGAAGAAGGGUUUCGGCUCGUAAAACUCUGUUGUUAAAGAAGAACAUAUCUGAGAGUAACUGUUCAGGUAUUGACGGUAUUUAACCAGAAAGCCACGGCUAACUACGUGCCAGCAGCCGCGGUAAUACGUAGGUGGCAAGCGUUGUCCGGAUUUAUUGGGCGUAAAGCGAGCGCAGGCGGUUUUUUAAGUCUGAUGUGAAAGCCUUCGGCUCAACCGAAGAAGUGCAUCGGAAACUGGGAAACUUGAGUGCAGAAGAGGACAGUGGAACUCCAUGUGUAGCGGUGAAAUGCGUAGAUAUAUGGAAGAACACCAGUGGCGAACGCGGCUGUCUGGUCUGUAACUGACGCU